AAACUUUCAACAAUGGAUCUCUUGGUUCCGGCAUCGAUGAAGAACGCAGCGAAAUGCGAUAAGUAAUGUGAAUUGCAGAAUUCCGUGAAUCAUCGAAUCUUUGAACGCACAUUGCGCCCCCUGGUAUU
rnacentral:rRNA from 2 species